AGGAAAAGAAACUAACUAGGAUUCCCUUAGUAACGGCGAGUGAACCGGGAUGAGCUCAAAUUUAAAAUCUGGCGUCUUUCAGGCGUCCGAGUUGUAAUCUAUAGAGGCGUUUUCCGCGCCGGACCGCGUCCAAGUCCCUUGGAAUAGGGUAUCAAAGAGGGUGACAAUCCCGUACUUGACGCGACAACCGGUGCUCUGUGAUACGUUCUCAACGAGUCGAGUUGUUUGGGAAUGCAGCUCUAAAUGGGUGGUAAAUUCCAUCUAAGGCUAAAUAUUGGCGAGAGACCGAUAGCGAACAAGUACCGUGAGGGAAAGAUGAAAAGCACUUUGGAAAGAGAGUUAAACAGCACGUGAAAUUGUUAAAAGGGAAACGAUUGAAGUCAGUCGUGUGGGAGGUAUUCAGCCGUCUCUGGCGGUGUAUUUGCCUCUCACGGGUCAACAUCAGUUUGAUCCGGUGGAAAAAGGCGGGAGGAAGGUGGCACCUUCGGGUGUGUUAUAGCCUCCUGUCAAAUGCAUCGGACCAGACUGAGGAACGCAGCUCGCAGCAAUGCCGGGGUUCGCCCACGUACGAGCUUAGGAUGUUGACAUAAUGGCUUUAAACGACCCG
rnacentral:rRNA from 1 species